rnacentral:rRNA from 1 species
GACGUAGGGACCGAGCGUUGUCCGGAAUCAUUGGGCGUAAAGAGCGUGUAGGCGGCCUUUUAAGUCCUGCGUGAAAUCCUGCGGCUCAACCGCAGACGGUCGUGGGAAACUGGAAGGCUAGAGUGCGGGAGAGGAGAGUGGAAUUCCCGGUGUAGCGGUGAAAUGCGCAGAUAUCGGGAAGAACACCCGUGGCGAAGGCGGCUCUCUGGAACGCAACUGACGCUGAGACGCGAAAGCGUGGGGAGUAAACAGG